GGAUAAGAGUUCCCUGACCCGAAUAGUAGACCCGACGACCCGCGAUUGGGUCUGAUCCGAAAUCGAUCCUCCGGCCACCUCUAAGCGUCGAACCACCAGUGAUAGCUUCCUCUCCUCAGCGCCAACAACCCUGUGGCCUUGGAUUAUCUAUGCAUUGAAUGAAGGUGAAGAAUUGACCACUGGAAGCUUUGAGUUUUCUCCGGCGAAUUUCUGCAAAUUCUGACGGCUCUGGCCACCGAUUAAGCUACAUGUGUUUCGCUGUGUUCUUCGACACCAGGGACUUUCUGGCACUUCUAGGCUUGCUUGCUACAUGAAAGACGGUCUAUUCUCCGUACACUACACGCUGGUGUGCAUGAUCUUCUAAUUCGAUCAAUUUUGGAGAAGCUAUGUUUGGGUGCACUCGUCCUCCACCAAGGUUCUAUUCCAGUGACUUUUCUGGUUUGUUUUUUGACUCAAUUUUAGUAUUAGGGUAUGGAUUGAGGCUUAGUUAUGUUGAAUACAGAAUUGGGAAUUAGUUGAACUGGUUCUGACUUGUUGUGUUCUUCGACGGACGCAGACAUGCAAAAUUUUGGGUUCUGAUCUUGAUCAAAUUUGAUUACAAAGUGAGUUGGAUUCUGUUUGAAAGCUCUAAAGUUUGCUUCGUGUAGUCAACUUCUGGAAAUGAGUUGCCAUGCUCGUACUCUUACAAUGAAUUCAAGUUGAGCUUA
rnacentral:lncRNA from 1 species